rnacentral:misc_RNA from 1 species
CCAUUGCUCAUGGCUCAACCCUCCAACACCCUUUAUCACUUUCCUCAAGUUUGACUGGAGCUUCUCCAAAAAGAUAUAUUGUUCAUGAGGAAGUGAAGCGAUUACCCCAAUUACACCGUUAACAGAGCCAAAAAUGACAGUUGGGAUUUGGCCCACAUCCGAAUCUGGCAAGCGCAUGACAAGGGAACCAUGUCGGAAUCGA